rnacentral:rRNA from 1 species
GAUGAACGCUGGCGGCGUGCCUAAUACAUGCAGUCGAACGCGAGCACUUGUGCUCGAGUGGCGAACGGGUGAGUAAUACAUAAGUAACCUGCCCUAGACAGGGGGAUAACUAUUGGAAACGAUAGCUAAGACCGCAUAGGUACGGACACUGCAUGGUGACCGUAUUAAAAGUGCCUCAAAGCACUGGUAGAGGAUGGACUUAUGGCGCAUUAGCUGGUUGGCGGGGUAACGGCCCACCAAGGCGACGAUGCGUAGCCGACCUGAGAGGGUGACCGGCCACACUGGGACUGAGACACGGCCCAG